rnacentral:rRNA from 1 species
GACGAACGCUGGCGGCGUGCUUAACACAUGCAAGUCGAACGAAGUGGCGAACGGGUGAGUAACGCGUAAUCAACCUGCCCUUCACAGGGGAAUAACAUUGGGAAACCAGUGCUAAUACCGCAUAGUGAAAGAUGGCCUCUCGCCUGGUUAGCUAGUAGGUGAGGUAACGGCUCACCUAGGUGAUGAUCAGUAGCCGGACUGAAGGUUGAUCGGCCGCAUUGGGACUGAGCCACGGCCCGGAGUCCUACGGGGAGCGGGAGUGAGGAAUAUUAGGCAAAGGCGCGAGCCUGACCCAGGAACGCCGCGUGAAGGAAGGCGGUCUUCGGAUUGUAAACUUCUUUACACAGGGACGCGGUACCUGUAGAAUAAGCCACGGCUAACUACGUGCCAGCAGCCGCGGUAAUAC